UUUGAAUUCCCCGUAGAAAGAGAUUUAGCUAAUGAAAAAGCUUUCAAGGCCGCCCAAUAUCCUUUCUUUUUCCAAACACUUUUUCGAAUACGCUUUUUUGAUGUAGAAGUACGUUUUUUUGGAACUGCCAUUCAAAAAAAAGUUAUUCAGUGCUCUAGCAUAUAUAGAAAUAGAAAAAGAUAGACUAGAAUCGACAUCUUUUAUGUCAUGUCAAUGACAAUAUAAAAAUGGAAUUGGGAUCUGGAUGGAAUAUAAUGAAAUAGAGCCACUUUGAGGUUCCCUAUGAAAUGAGGCAUGGAACGGAGCCACUACGAAGAAUUUUCGGGGGUUACGAAGGAAACUUCGAGUUCAUAUUGGUCAUGGGUUAAUAUUGGGAGGCUCAUUACUUCAAUUAGUCCCCGUGUUCCUCGAAUGGAUCUCUUAAUUGUUGAGAGGGUUGCCCAAAAGUAGUAUAUAAGGCGUACCCAGUAAAACUUACAAGUAAACCAGAUAUAAAGAUGGCGACUAAGGUUGCUGUUUCCAUUAUUAUAUAAUUUCAAGAUUCUAUCAUCAGCUAUGGGUUCGAAUCUAAGAGAAAUUCUAGAGAAUGUUUGCUGCCCUGAGAUUUUCUUGUCUUUCCUGACCGAUAAGGAAAAAAAAUUGGGUAAAAAAAUGUCUUUUUGGAGUUUUAUCAACAAUUUUCUUGUGUAGGCUUCUUUUUUCAACCUACUCAAGUCCAAACCAUCUAUCCAAUUGGUCAAGGAAGUUUUUCUGAUGGUAUGCCCCUAGGAAUCUCUGGUACUUUCAACUUCAUGAUUGUAUUCCAGGCUGAACACAACAUCCUUAUGCAUCCGUUUCACAUGUUAGGCGUAGCCGGUGUAUUUGGCGGCUACCGAAUCGAACAUGGCCAUAUGAGUUGAUACCAUCACUAUGUAUAAAAAGAUAUCGUGCGUGAACCUAUAGGUCAAUCUAUUUAUCUGUAUAUAUAGAUAGAUGAAAUGCAUAAUCUAGCAUGCCUAUUUGUGAACAUGAAAUAAAAAAAUCACCCUCGACCCCAUGUCCGAAUAAAAGCGGUUAAAGGGUUGGAACCUAUAAAAAUGGUAUCUCCAAUUAUAGCCCCUCUGGGAUGUAAAAUAUAUCUCUUCUCACCAUCCCCAUAGUGUAUGAGACAAAUGUAUGCAUUUUGAUUAGGGUCGUAUUCUAUGGUUACGAUUCUACCAUAUAUGUCUUUUUCAUUUCGUCGAAAAUCAAUUUUACGGUAUAGACGCUUAUGACCUCCCCCUCUAUCUAUUAUUGUAUUUAGUUUAUGUAUUCAUUUUUUUAGUAAUUUCCUACUUUAUUUUAUUUUAAUUUUAUGCAAUUUAUAUAUUAAUAUUAAAUUUAUAGAUUAUAGAUUUUCAUUUUUUUUAUUUUUUAGAAUAUUAAAAAAUUAUUAUUAUAUUAUUGGUAUUUCCAGUGGCGGACGGGUGAGUAACGCAUAAGAACCUGCCCUUGGAAGGGGAACAACAGCUGGAAACGGUUGCUAAUACCCCGUAGGCUGAGGAGCAAAAGGAGGAAUCCGCCCGAGGAGGGGCUCGCGUCUGAUUAGCUAGUUGGUGAGGCAAUAGCUUACCAAGGCGAUGAUCAGUAGCUGGUCCGAGAGGAUGAUCAGCCACACUGGGACUGAGACACGACCCAGACUCCUACGGGAGGCAGCAGUGGGGAAUUUUCCGCAAUGGGCGAAAGCCUGACGGAGCAAUGCCGCGUGGAGGUAGAAGGCCCACGGGUCGUGAACUUCUUUUCCCGGAGAAGAAGCGAUGACGGUAUCUGGGGAAUAAGCAUCGGCUAACUCUGUGCCAGCAGUCGCUUCUCAAUACCGACAACAAUGAAAUUUAUAGUAAAAGGAAAAUCCUUCGACUUUAAAAAUCGUGAGGGUUUAAGUCCCUCUAUCCCCAACCCCAAAAAGCCCGUUUGCUAUCUAUUUAUUUUAUCCUACCCUUUUUGUUAGUGGUUCAAAGUUCCUUAUGUUUCUCAUUCAUCCUAUUCUUUGCCGUUUUACAAGCGUAUCCUAGCAUAGCAGAAUUUUGUUCUCUUAUCACAAGUCUUGUGAUAUAGUGUGAUGUGAUAUAUAUAUGAUAUACGUAGAAAUAUCUUGAGCAAGGAAUACCUAUUUGAAUGAUUCAUAAUACAUAUGAUUACUCAUAUGGAAAUUUACAAAGUGACCGGCGGUAUCUUGACCCUUAAUUACUAGGGCGUUGUAAAUAUUAGGCAUUUUGCCCGGGGGAAAGGCUACAUCCAGUACUGGACCGAUGAUUUGAGAAAUACGCCCCAAAUUUUCUUUUUCAAGCGUGGAAACUCCAGGAACAGAAGUAGUAGGAUUUAUUUUCAUAAUAAAGUGAAAUAUGUCAAUUUCUUUUUCCAAAAUUAUCUAAUACAAAAUAAAUCUUCGACAGGAGGUUGAUCGGUUAAUUCAAUAAGAAAUGGGGGUUAGCGCUCGAUUUCGUUGGUCCCAUCCAAUUCAAGUGCAUGCAAUUGGAUUGUUUCCUUAUUCAAUGAAGGAAUUUUUAAGUUCAACCAACCUAUUUUCAAAACAGGAAGUGGAUAAAUAAAAAUUUUGGGAGAGUCUUUCAUUUGUCCAUCAUUAUAGGCACACCAUCCAUAUUAUCUAUGGAAUUCGAACCCGAACUCUAUUUAUGAUUCCUUAUUUCUAUCUCAUUAUCCUUGUUUCAAUUUCAUUUCAUAUUUUAUUUUAGCAUAUCGAUUUUUUUUACUUUACGUCCAACCUCUCCCCCUUUUUUCCAUCUAUAUUCCCUUUUUUUUCAUUUCAGGGCCGAAUUACGCCUGUUUUCACAUCUAGGAUUUACAUAUACAACAUAUAUUACUGUCAAGCGUGAAUUUCUUAUUUUAUUGAGCUUAUAAUAUAUAAUUUAUAUUAGAUGUUAGAAUAUUAAUUCUAUUAUAUAUUUAUCUAUUUCUUAUCUAUUUCUAUUUCAUUUAUUUCAUUUGCAUUUAGAAUUUUGAUUCAAAAAAAAGUAAGGAAUUAUAAACUUGAAAAACACGGAUCGGGUUGCGCCAUACAUAUGAAAGAAUGUAGAAUAAUGAUGUAUUUGGCGAAUCAAAUACCAUGGUCUAAUAAGGAACCUUUCGGAUUCGUUGAUAAUUUUUUGAAAGAUUUCUUCGAAAAGGUUUCAUUAACUCCUCAUUUAUAUCGAGUAGACCUUGUUGUUGCGAGAAUUCUUAAUUCAUGAGUUGUAGGGAGGGACUUAUGUCACCACAAACAGAGACUAAAGCAAGUGUUGGAUUCAAAGCUGGUGUUAAAGAGUAUAAAUUGACUUAUUAUACUCUUGAAUAUGAAGUCAAAGAUACUGAUAUCUUGGCAGCCUUCCGAGUAACUCCUCAACCCGGAGUUCCGCCUGAGGAAGCAGGGGCCGCGGUAGCUGCUGAAUCUUCACUGGUACAUGGACAACCGUGUGAACCGAUGGGCUUACCAGCCUUGAUCGUUACAAAGGGCGAUGCUACGACAUUGAGCCCGUUCCUGGAGAAGAAGAUCAAUAUAUAUGUUAUGUAGCUUACCCUUUAGACCUUUUUGAAGAAGGUUCUGUUACUAACAUGUUUACUUCCAUUGUGGGUAAUGUAUUUGGGUUCAAAGCCCUGCGCGCUCUACGUCUAGAGGAUCUGCGAGUCCCUACUGCUUAUAUUAAAACUUUCCAAGGCCCGCCUCAUGGUAUCCAGGUUGAAAGAGAUAAAUUGAGCAAGUAUGGUCGCCCCCUAUUAGGAUGUACUAUUAAACCUAAAUUGGGGUUAUCCGCUAAGAACUACGGUAGAGCAGUUUAUGAAUAUCUACGUGGUGGGCUUGAUUUUACCAAAGAUUAUGAGAAUGUGAACUCCCAACCAUUUAUGCGCUGGAGAGACCGUUUCUUAUUUUGUGCCGAAGAAAUUUAUAAAUCACAAUAUACUUCUAAUGUCGAAUCAGGAUCAACUAGGACAGAAAUAAAGCAUUGGGUCGAACUCUUCUUUGGUGUCAAGGUAAUAGCUAUGAAUAGUCAUCAACUCCCCAGAAAGGGUAGAAGAAUGGGACCUAUUAUGGGACAUACAAUGCAUUACAGGCGUAUGAUCAUUACGCUUCAACCGGAUUAUUCUAUUCCACCUCUUAGAACGAAAAGAACUUAAUUCUCUUUCUCUGAAAAUAUAGAAAAAGGGGGUCUGCGCACCAAUAUCUGCCAUAAAAGGUCCAAGCCAUAAUGGAUGAGAAGUUAUACGACUCAACUCCAACAUAAUUACUCUGAUAUAGCUAGCCCUUUUAGGGACUUGAAUAUUCCCCAACUGUUCUGGUCCAUUUACGGUUAUUGCUUCCGUGAACAUAGUGGCUAAAUAAUCCCAACGCGUUACAUAAGGCAAAUAUUGUUUAAUUGUUCAGUUUUCCGCAAUUUUUUCCAUUCCUCUGUGUAAAUAACCUAAUAUUGGUUCACAGUCAACAACAUCUUCACCAUCUAGAGUAACGAUGAGACGAAGAACACCAUGCAUUGAUGGGUGGUGAGGCCCCAUAUUGACUAUCAUAAGGUCUUUUUCUGUAGCUGAUAGAUUCAUAAGUUUUUCCUCGAUUCAUUCUUACAUGAAUUGUUGAAAACGAAAACAAGUACAUCAAAAUGAAAAUCUAAUAAAUCGACUAAUUCAAAAUUUGCAAAUUAACGAUUUUUUGAUUCCCGAAUAUCCAACUCACCAAUUAAUUCUUUAUAACGUAUUUUAUUUGUCUUUGAUAAAUAAGAUAGCAGUCGUUGUCGUUUUCCUAGAAUUUUACGUAGACCUCUCUGAGAUAAAUAGUCUUUUUUGUGCAAUUCCAAAUGUGAAGUAAGUCUUCGUAUCUUAUUGGUGAAACUAACUAUUUGAAAUUCAACAGACCCCCUGUUUUCUUCUUUUUUUUCUUGAAAAAUAACUGAGAUGAAUGAAUUUUUACCAUAAAACCAAAAAAUUUCCCCCUUUUUUUGAAUGUGAAUUUUACUGAUCAGUAAUAAUAAUACCAAUCAUUUUGAUAUACACGAUGAUUUUAAGUUCGUUAUGAACUUUAUCAUUUUUUUUUCAAAUAAAAUUAAUCAAUCUGGGUCAUAUAAGCAAAAAAUCUCAAAUAUCCUUCAUCAUGAGACAUAUAAUUGUCACUAUAAAUAAGAACAAAAAUUCCAACAGUAGUGAUUAAUAUUGACAUAAUAGAGGUAAGUGAAUCAAUAAAGUAGCCAAACUCGAAAGAAAAAUCAUUAUAGAUGGUCCAAGACCAUACAUAUUGAUAGAUAGAACUUCCAUUUAUUUGCUGAAUAGACAGAUCGAGCGAAAAAAUCAUAACUAUACUUAACAAUAAAAUAUUGGGAAAAGCCCACAUACGACGAAGAUUUUUUGUUACCGUUGGAAAAAGUAGGAGUCCCAUUCCUAUUCUACUCUAGGGAUAAUUUUUUUCGCUAUCUUUUUUCGAGAACCGCCUAAAAUUCUAACUAAAAAAUGAAAUGAUUUUUCAUUAUCUCAAUUGAAGUAAUGAGCCUCCCAAUGGAUUUGGUUAGACAAUGUAUGGUUGGUAAACAGUGGUCGAUUUUUUAGCAAGGUACGGAAUGUAUCGUCAAAUAUUCAAUAUGAUUCCACAAGAUCUAGUUUCGUUCAAGUAACGGAUUCUCGCCAAUUGAAAGGAUCUUCUGAUCAAUCCAGAGAUCGUUUCGAUUCCAUUAGUAAUGAGGAUUCGGAAUAUCACACAUUGAUCAAUCAAAGAGAGAUUCAACAACUAAAAGAAAGAUCGAUUCUUUGGGAUCCUUCCUUUCUUCAAACGGAAUGAACGGAGAUAGAAUCAGAGCGAUUCCCUAAGUGCCUUUCUAGAUAUUCCUCAAUUUCCCGGCUAUUCACGGAACGUGAGAAGCGGAUGAAUAAUCAUCUGCUUCCGGAAGAAAUCGAAGAAUUUCUUGGGAAUCCUACAAGAUCCAUUCGUUCUUUUUUAUUCUUUUUAGAUUCAUUGCUACAAAUAUGGAUUAUUGAAAAAAAAUAAGACAUGUAUUUGGAUAUUUCCUUUCAACUACAAUAAUAUUCUAGUAUUUAUUUGAUAUGACAUGAAUAGUUGAAGGGAAUUCCCCGAAGAGAAAAUGGAUUAUAGGAGUGUGUGACUUGAACUAUUGAUUGGGCCGUGCAGAAAUAUGCCUUUAUUUGCUACAUUGGAAUUCACAACCAAAUGUGUCUUUGUUUCAACCACCGUGUAAGCCCCAUACAAAGGAUAGGCUGGUUCGCUUGAAGAGAAUCUUUUCUAUGAUCAGACCUGACGAUGUUGUGUAUAAAUAGGGCUCCGUAAGAUCCAGUAGAAUAAGUGAUUUGGCAUAAUCAAAAUUAGAUUUUAGUUUUUUUUUUUACUUUCUUAUCUUAAUAGUAUGAAAAUGCAUUCAUUUUUUCUUCAUCGACCCGAUUUAAUUAUACUAUCGGAGUGAAACAAGGGAUCUAAAGAAGAGCAAAGGCUAGACUGUAUUAGUAACAAGUAAAUCCUUUGUAUGUAAAAAAUCUCGAUAUAUUUUUGGGAUAAAGGUGAAUCGCAAGGCCUAAGACGACCCAUAAAGCACUUGAUCACGAUCAACUUUGUACGCCUACUUGGGUAUUGAGCAUUUACCUGUAAAAAUGAAAUUCCUUGGAAUGUAUAAUUGCAACUCCGUAAAAUGGAAUCGGGUAACUUUUUUCUUACAUAUGGAACCAUUCAUAUAUGUGGGGAUAACAUAUAGAUAAAUUUUAGGACCGAAUCAGUAUUAUUUAUCUUCGUAUGGAUGUAGAAUAGAUAGAGAAAAAAUAGAUUGGAAGGUCCAAAAUUAUACCAAUGGAAUUCUGUCUGCUAUAUUCUGAAGAAUAAAAAAAAAGUGCUUCUGAAUUGAUCUCGCCCAUUCAUAAUUUCAAUUUUUAUUUGUUGAGUAAUAACUUAAGCCUUCAAAAAAUAAAAAGAAUUGUUGUGAAUCGAUUCCAAGUUGGUUUCUUUCGUAUUCUUAUGGAUAGGCUAAUAAAUAAACAGAAAUAAAAGACAAUACAUCCCACCCAAAAAGGGAGGUAUUCCAAUGCAAUAAAGUUACAUAGUGUCUAUUUUUCGUUGAUAAAGGGGUAUUUCCAUGGGUUUUCCUUGGUAUCGUGUUCAUACUGUCGUAUUGAAUGAUCCCGUCGCUUGCUUUCUGUUCAUAUAAUGCAUACGGCUCUGGUUGCUAGUUGGGCCGGUUCAAUGGCUCUAUAUGAAUUAGCCGUUUUUGAUCCCUCCGAUCCCGUUCUUGAUCUAAUGUGGAGACAAGGUAUGUUCGUUAUACCCUUCAUGACUCGUUUAGGAAUAACCAAUUCAUGGGGUGGUUGGAGUAUUACAGGGGGGGCUAUAACAAAUCUGGGUAUUUGGAGUUACGAAGGUGUGGCCAGAGCACAUAUUGUGUUUUCUGGCUUGUGCUUCUUGGCAGCUAUCUGGCAUUGGGUAUAUUGGGAUCUAGAAAUUUUUUGUGAUGAGCGCACAGGAAAACCUUCUUUGGAUUUGCCCAAGAUUUUUGGAAUUCAUUUAUUUCUCUCAGGAGUGGCUUGCUUUGGCUUUGGCGCAUUUCAUGUAACAGGAUUGUAUGGUCCUGGAAUAUGGGUGUCAGACCCUUAUGGACUAACUGGCAAGGUCCAACCUGUAAAUCCGGUGUGGGGCGUGGAAGGUUUUGAUCCUUUUGUUCCGGGAGGAAUAGCACGCAGAUCCCAGAAACGCAUAGUUUCCCCUCCAAAAAUGACUUCUCCGGUCGGGGAACGCAUUAGAUAUUUACCUAACCCAGUCUUUAGAGAUAAAGACGGGCGUGAACUUUUUGUACGUUGUAUGCCUACUUUUUUUGAAACAUUUCCGGUUGUUUUCGGUAGACGGAGACGGAAUUGUUAGAGCGGAUGUCCCUUUUAGAAGGGCAGAAUCAAAGUAUAGUGUCGAACAAGUAGGUGUAACUGUUGAGACUUAAAUUAAAUAUUAAAUAAUAAUAGAGAAAAUUUACAAGAUAUGAUCUAUCUGUAUCUAACGUAUCAACUCCAAAUAUUGCAAAUAAAAAGUAAAAGUCUUUAUUUCGAUUUGAUAUAUGAGAUGAAUCCAGUAUUUCGUAUAACCCGUUUAGUGCGUUUGAUAUACCAUUCAUAUUGCCCUCUGACAGAAAUAGAACUUUACUUAAAAAAAAGGAAUUAUUUUGAUUCAAUCUUCUCUUGCCUACUCAAAUUCUAUAUUUUUGACACCGACGAAACUAAUCACACAAUAUUCACAGUUUUUUUAUCUCUUUUGUGCGAUUCUAUCGAAGAGCAGAUGCUAUGAAUCAAUUAAUUUAAAUUGAGUUCAUUUUUCAGAAAAAUCAUCGGAAAAAGUGAUCCAUUUGUUGUCAUUUAUACGACCAAAAUAUUAUGAUCAUGAUCAUUAAGAAUUCAACGGGACCCUUCCUCGCGAAUCAGACAAAGAAAGUGGAGGCGGGCCCUGUUGAGUUCUUACACUUUCAUGCCUAUAACUUAGUUCGUCCCAUUAUCCAUUAUUCCAUAUUAUAGGGACGAACCCAAUCCAGAAUAUGAACCAUAAAAGAAAAUACCUAUUAAACCGAUCACAGGAAUACCACCCCCCGAACAGUACUAUAAGAAUCAGUACUGAACAUCCCUCCUGUAAUUGUACACGCGCCCAUAGCAAUAACAUAUUUAGGUUCGGGCAUUUGUUCAUAUAAUCUCACUAAAGAGGGUGCCAUUUUCAUUGUUACUGUUCCAGCUGUUAAAAUUAGGUCUGCCUGUCUAGGACUCGAUCUUGGUACCAGCCCAUAACGAUCAAAGUCGAAGCGUGAGCCUAUUAAUGAAGCAAUGAUUCGAAGCACUUCUUUUUACACUAUUUCGGAAACCCAAGGACUCAAUUGUAUGGAUAUGUAAAAUACAGGAUUUCCAAUCCUAGCAGGAAAGGGAGGGAAACGGAUACUCAAUUUAAAGUGAGUAAAUAGAAUUCCAUACUCGAUCUCAUAGAUACAUAUGGAAUUCUGUGGAAAACCGUAUUCGAUGAAAGUCGUAUGUACGGCUUGGAGGGAGAUCUUUCAUAUCUUUCGAGAUCCACCCUACAAUAUGGGGUCAAAAAGCCAAAAUAAAUUAUUUUAGCCCUUAUAAAAAGAAAAUGGAUUCUUGAACCCCUUUCACGCUCAUGUCACGUCGAGGUACUGUAGAAGAAAAACUGUAAAAUCCGAUCCAAUUUAUCGUAAUCGAUUAGUUAACAUGUUGGUUAACCGUAUUCUGAAACACGGAAAAAAAUCAUUGGCUUAUCAAAUUAUCUAUCAAUUUAAAUCUAUAAAUUUUCCAUGAAACUAGACUUAUAUAUCUUCUUACCAUAAUUUUUCCAGAAUUUUUGGUUUGGUCAAUUUGUAUAGUUUAUUCAUUAAAGGUUCCCCUAUUUUGCAGUUCAGCGGACCUGACCUCUCUUCACUAAAAAUCAAUAAUCUCAUUAUAAAUAAUUUGGAAAACAUUUCUAUUUCUUUCUAAUGUAAAUAGACUCAGUAAGGAAUCUAUACAUAUAAAAUUUGGCUUAUAAUUAUUUUUUUAAAAUUUCUAGUGAUUUUCCAUAUUUGGAACAGGGGAUCACGAAGUCACUCUGAACCAAUCCUACAGAAAUUUAAAUAUCUCAGAAUAUAGACUUUUUUUGCUUGUUCUGUUUCUUUCCUAUAAAAAUAGACCCAAUAAUAUUUAAUUAUAUAUCUCAUUCACCAUUUAAUUCCAUUUCUACAAAUUUUAGUGAUUUUUCAAAACCACAUCACUGCUGUUGUUUCCUAAGUAUUCCAUGGCCAACUCUUACUCUUUCAUAGUUUCUUUGCAUCAAACCUCAUUUAGGCAUAUAUAAUACCAAAACAUGUUCAUAUUUAGCUAUAUCAUAACCUAAUCAUUACCAAGUAUUCACAUGCCAUUCUUUAAUCAUAUCAUAAGGACAUACACACAAAAUAGCCAAGUCCCUAUACAUGCCAUAAGUUAAAGUAUUUCUAGUCACAAAAUACCGAGAUAACUCGUUGAUAGUGUGAGGCAAUCUCUGACGUCCUUACGAAUUUCCGAGUUGGCUUUGUGAUACUAUAAAAAGAUUAAAAAGAAAGGGAGUAAGCAUAAAUCUUUGUAAGUUUGCAUGUAACUAAAUAACAACAUUCUAAAUGAAUUAUCAAGAUAACCUGAACGUUUCGAACAUGGACUUAUCUUACCUUCCCUUUGGUACACUCUUUGAAUUUUUCGUUGAACCAUUUGGAAUACUAAGGAUACACGGGUACCUUUCCUUUUUAAACUUACCAUUGCCAUGUCUUGACAUGGUCUUACGUGGUAUCCUUGCCUUAUGAACUCACCAUUGCCAUGCCUUGCCAUAGUCUUACAUGGGAUGUUUGCCUUAUAGUAGUUUAUCAAUGCCAUCUCUUGACAUGGUCUUACAUGAUUUCCUUGCAUUGUAAAACUUACCAAUGCCAUGCCUUGGCAUGGUCUUACUUGGUAUCCUUAAACCCUAAUGUCAUGAUAUUUGUAUCCUACACAUUCCUAAGGUUCAAUAGAACUUUUAAGUAUCAUUUCUCCGUCAAUUCUUGCUUGAAUCAUCAAGGAAUAAAUUUACAAAACAAAUAUAUGGAUGCUGAAAAAUAACAUCAUUAAUUAUAAAUAAUAAAACAUUGCAUUUAUUCACUGCAAACUUACCUCGAAACAAAAUACGAUCAAAUAUUAUGAUUUAGUCCUCAACCUUUUUCUUUCCUCGGUCUAAUCCCGAAUUUCGUUCUUCUUGAUUUAUAAUUGCAAAUUUAACUUAUUUAAUAUUCACAUUUAUCAAAAUAGUCCUUAACUCUGACUUUGAUAAAAUUACGAUUUUGCCCCUAAACUUUUGCAUAUUUACACUUUUCCCAAAGGCUCAGAAAUGAAACUUUAUCCCUAAUUCUUAUGUUUUAUGACAGGCUGAUCAUUUAUUUACCUACGGCAACAUCAAAUUCCCACUCUAACAUGUACUUAUGACCAUUAUGUAUUUUUACCGAUUAUGUGACUCGUUUUCGCUUAAAAUCGCUUAGCUCAAUUGUUUAACAUAAUUUCAAGCUUCAUGUUCUACCAUAAAACAUCAAAAUAAACAAAUUUCACCUAUGGGUAUUUUUCCAAAUAUGAACCCUAGGUUAUAUUAUUGCUAGAAUAAGCUAAAUCAAGUUACCGAGACUUUAAAAACGUAAAGAACAUUAAAAACGGGGCUUGGAAUCACUUACUAUGAAGCUUGGAAGCUUGAAAAUACCCUAGUUAUGAAGAACCCUUGAAAUUUUGGCCUAAUGAAGAAGAUGGGCACAUUUUGCCAUCUUUUUCCCUUUUUUUAAUCUUUUAAUUACCAAAUGACUAAAAUACCCUUCAUUAAAACUUUAAUUAUUUUUAUCUAUGUAUGUCCAUUUUUAUCCAUGAAAACCUAAUGGUCUAAUUACCAUUUAAGGACCUCUACUUCAAUUAUACUCUUCAAUUUAAUCCUUUAGCAUCUAAAACUCAUAUUUAUCAACUUUUGCAAUUAAGCUCUAGUAGGCAAAUUAAGCACGCUAUCUAUAAAAUUUUCCAUCGGUACUCUAACACAUGCAUAUAAUCACUUGGUAAAUUAUAAAAAUUAAUUGGAAUAAACUUUUCUAUCUCGGAUUCGCAAUUUCGCAACCACUGUUCCGUUUAGGCCCUAUUUUGGGAUGCUACAUAAACUAACAUAGGAGUUACAUAAUGCAAGUCAUUAUUUAUAGUGCAUACUUAACUAACAUGAAAGUUAUAUAAUGCAUUACUUUAUUAAAUGUAGAACACACAAAGUGCAAGUUAAAAUUAAAAUAUGCUAACUUAUUAAUUUAAAUAAAACUUAAUUAAAUUAAAAAGUCCUUAAAAACAUUGGCCCAAUAAUCAAUCAGGCCUAUGAGAUGUUUCAUCUUGCACUUGGGCCCCUCAAGUUUAGGCCAAUCUCGAUGGUGUUGAGUUGCGUCAUAACAUGAUGCGACCGGGUUCGCAUAAAAAACCUAGGAAGACAACUUUGUUAGUACGAAAUGUACACUUCUUCAGGUUUGCAUACAAGGUCUCCUUUCGAAGAACCUCCAAAAUAGAUUUUAAAUGCAACACAUGUUCAUCCAAAGACUUACUAUAGAUAAGGAUAUCAUCAAAAUAUACAACGUCAAACUUACUAAUGAUGGCUCGUAAAAAUAAUCAUAAGAUGCAUAAAUGUACUAGGUGCGUUGGUUAGGCCAAAUGGCAUGACCAACCAUUCAUACAAAUCGUAUUACGUCUUAAAAGCUAUCUUCCACUCAUCACCUUCUCGUAUUCAUAUUUGAUGAUACACGCUCUUCAGAUUGAUUUUUUAAAACAAUUGUGCACCACUCAACUCAUCAAGCAUGUCAUCUAAGUGCGGUAUUGGAUAUCUAUACUUAAUUUCUAUCUUAUUCACCACUCGGCAGUCUUUCGUCCUUCUUUGGCACUAAUAACAUAGGCACGGGGCAAGGACUAAAGCUUUCGCGGUUGUAACCCUUUUCCAUAAGUUCAUUAACUUGUCUUUGUAGCUCUUUAGCCUCCUCUGGAUUGCUUCAGUAGGCCGGACAAUUAGGAAUAAUGGCUCUGGGAACAAAAUCUAUUUGAUGUUCAAUCCCUCGAAUGGGUGGCAACCCCCUAGGGACUUCGUCCGAGAACGCAUCAUUAAAAUCCUGCAAAAGAGACACAACAGAAGAAGGGAUAUUUUCAACUAAUUCAUUAGUAUUCAAAAAACUUUCCUUGUACAUGAGCACAAGGAUCGGUUAUUUCAUCUGACUCUUUUUCCACUUUUCCUUCUUUUUCUUCUCUCACUUUUUUUUAUUUUCUUUAUUCUUUUCUCUCGUUUUUCCUCCGCUUUUUUAGUUUUCUUUUCUUGUUCAUUUUCACUCUUUUCUUUGUCCCUCGCUUGAUCAACAUAAUUUUUCAAUUUGAUUUGGUCUUCAUAAACUUGCUUCGGCGUCAAGGGAGCCAAAGUUACAUUCUUCCCCAAAUGUUUGAAAGUAUAGAGAUUUGUGUAGCCGUCGUGAAUAACCCUCCGAUCAAACUGGCACGUCUUUCUAGCAAAAAGUGUCCAACAUGUAUGGCAUAACAUCACAAAGGACUUCAUCUGUGCAUUUCCAAUUGAAAAUUCCAUGAGCACUUGUUUGGCGACCUUCAACUCACCACCGUCAUUAUGCCAUUGAAGCUUGUAGGGGUGCGGGUGCUUAGUUGUUGGAAGGCCUAAUUUUUCCACCAUCAAAGUGCUGGUCACAUUGGUGCAGCUCCCACCAUCAAUAAUAGCGCUGCAUACUUUGCCUUGUACAUGGCAUCGUGUGUGAAAUAUAUUUCCUCUUUGUUGCUUAUUCUCUAUACUUUGAAGGCUUAGGCUCCUUUUGAUGACAAGGAUUUCGCCAUCAAUAGCAUAUUCAAGUUAUUCCUCCUCGUCGGUGGGUGCAUCAAGUACUUCCUUAUUUUCCUCCUCUAACUCAACUUAGCCAUUGGCUCGAACCACCAUGUUGCUUUGGUUAGGACAUUGGGUGGCAAUAUGCCCCUUCUCAAGGCAUUUAAAGCAUUUUAUGUCCCUUGAUAGAUUGGGAAAAGCUUUGGACUUACCUUUGCUAGUUUCGUCACUAGGCUUGUUCGGCUUUUCUAGCACCAUUUGCUCUUUCAUAGGAUUGGAUGGAUCCUUCUUGCUAGUGCCUUGGACCCAUUUUGAGGUUGCAUUGGGUUUGGAAUAGGCUCGAACAGAACCUUUACGUUGGAUUUGCUUCUCCACCUUGAUAGCUAUGUGCAUCAUGUCAACUACUUCAAUGUAAUGUUAAAGUUUCACAAUGUUGGCUAUAUCUCAGUUGAGUUCGACUAAGAAACGCGCCAUGGUCGCCACACGAUCCUCUUCAACAUCCGCACAAAUAUAAUGAGUUCCAUUUCUUUAAAAUAGUCCUCCACGCUCCGAUUACCUUGAGUAAGGUUUUGGAGUUUUUGGUAUAGCUUCCAAUGGUAAUAUGAUGGGAUGAAGUGCUUACGCAUCAUAGCCUUCAUUUUGACCCAAGUGGAUAUUGGUCGUUUACCGUUCCUUCUCCGACUUGUAGUGAGUUUAUCCCACUAGAUCAUGGCAUAAUCAGAGAACUCGAUUGCUGCCAACUUCACCUUAUUAAUUUCUGAGUAAUUGCGACACUCGAAAACCAAUUCAAUCUUCUUCUCCCAUUCAAGGUACGCCUCUAGAUCAGAUUUACCUUGGAAUGGAGGAAUGGAUAGCUUAAUAUUCUUCAAGUCAUCAUCUACACACUCUCGAUCUUAAAGGCCUCAGUUUCUUUGACCUUUCUGUCUUUCACUUUGAUUCAACCCUUAAUCAUUUUCCACAUCACUUGGGUCAUAGAGGUCAUCUUGAUUGCACCUACGUCGGCCUCGCUCUCUUUGUGUACCUUGGGGAGUUCUUUCUCAUUGGCCCCUCUCCUCGACACAUUCCAAACGUUCAUUGAAGGAUUCUAAUUCAUUUCGUAAGAUCUGUUGGAAUUCGCGCAAGCGUGCUUGUUAAGCUAAGUCAGGCACUCCACCUCCUCCAAAUGCAAUAUUUCUAACAGGUCGAUGGCCACCUCUUUCCACCAUAUUGUGUUUCGAAGUUGAGACAUGAAGUAAAAUCCUCACCACAAAACCUCACGUUCACUCACAAAGAAAGAUAAGAUGGCACUCCACUCGUGUUUACACUCUUUAUUUGGCUUUUUUUUCACUCUAAUGAGCUCACCCUCUCGUGCCUUUUACCACUCAAUUCUUCUUCCAAAGUUUGUAAAACAACUCAUUUAGACUUAUAAGCUAGCUUAGGGGUCGACCUUAAAGCGGUGCAAAGGUAGACAAUGUUUUUGGUACAAGGUAGGUUGAAAGGAAAUAAGCAGUGGCUGGUAGUGUAAUGCCCUAAAUUUUGGGCAUAAAAGUAUUAAGUCUUGAGUAUGGGAAUAAUUAGGAGGCUGCACAUAAAUGUUUAAUUGUGCAAGAAAAUGACACAAAUGUGUAUCUGCUUCAGUGGUUAUGUGUUUUGGGAAGUGUCUAAGAAGUCUUGGGUUCAAGCCUGGGCAUGUGUAAAAGUUUUGUUUUAAAAGGUUUAAACCAUAUCCCUAGUCAAUAGGCUUAUAAAUAAAUGUGGGUAAAACAUGACAGAAAGGGCCUGCUGGUCUAGGGGAUAAGGGGCGUGUGGUAGUUACUUGAGGUCUGAGGUUCGAAUGCUGGUAGGCACAUUGAGGGGUUUUAUUUUGCUGUUGGCUUUAUUUUGCUGUUUGGCCAUGACAGAGCUCUAGUUUGACUGAAACUUAUGUGUUUGAAGAGUGUGGGGAGUGGUCGCUGAAUUUUAGGAGAUUAUUGAGAAUUUUGGUAGUUAAGGGGAUUUGGGAAGUGUUUUGGGGAGGAAAAUUUAUAUAGAAGAAAUUGGGUGGAGCUCAAAUUAGUUGGUGGAGUAAUGUAAAUAGAUCAUCAAGGAAUGAAUUAAGGGAUUUUGGGAAGAGUGGUAGUGUUGCACCGGAUGUGGGAGUCUCAUUUUGUCAAAAUAGGUCAAUAGCACAUUUUCAUUCCUUGAUACCGUAUUUUUGCUUUUGGUUUUUACUGUUUCUCCAUCUUUUGUAUUUCUCUUUGGGGGACAGAUUGUUACUAGAGACCAUUCGGGGUUUUUCUCAAUUUGGUACAUUUUGGGUUUGUUCUUCCCAAAAAUCGAUUGCUUUCUUCUCUCCCUCUCUCAAAUAUUGGUUGAAUACUCCUUAUUCUUUGCUCUCUUAAUUCUUUCCCUUUCCUUCACCUUCUUGUUUGGCCGAACACACCUUUCUCCCCUCUUUUGAUUCUUUUUGAGUUCACAAAUUUCCUCUCUUAUCAUCUUGCCAUUUUGACCGAAUACCUCAUCUCUCCCUCUUUCUAUUUUAUUUUCAAUUUUUGCAAUUGCGCUUUGACCAAUUGGGACAUGUUGGUGCUAGUCUUGCUUCUUUAGUAACGUGUGUUUUAGCUUGCAUUGGCGGUAUAGGCCGAUUGGUUCUUUUCCUUUUCUCAGUGUGACACUUUCGGAUACUUCUAAAAGGGGUUUGAACUAGUCUUUUGCAACGGAUUAAGGGAGUGAUCCUCAGUCGAUCGACCAAGGCAAGUGAUAAGAAACCAUUUUAAUAAGUGUUAUAGAAAAGGGAUCGUUUAAUCCUAUUGUUAAAGGGACUAAUGGUGUAUUGUGUUUGGAUCUAAGGUUGGAGCGCUUGUGGUCUAUUUGCACACUCUCACAUCAAGAUGUGUAAACACUGCCCUAAUCGUAAAUCAGUAAAAGUCAGAAUAAGUGACCGACGACACUACACGGAUGUGCGCUCGCCCGUGUGGUAGUUCGUAUACCUAAACAUGGGUGUAUGAUCGUCGAGCGCAACCAUGAGCGAUUUCAUGGGUCGAGGCCGUAUUGGACCAUUCGGGCCAAACUAGGCCGUGUGGCCCUACGGGCUUGUAGGCCCCACUUGGGUAAACCACACGGAGUGUGGUGAAUAUUGGGCCAGGCUGUGUAUCCAUGCGGCUAAGGCCAUUUCUGGGUUAUGUAGACCACAUGGGCCCACAUUAUGGGCUUUGCGCUCAUUUUCAUUGUUUGACUGUUAAGGUUGCACGGGUCACCCGAGAUGACUGUGGACCUACUAUUGUGUCGGUAAGUGUACCUAGGCCCCCUAUGUGGUAAAAUGACUGUUUUGCCCUUAUGUGGUAAAAUGACUGUUUUGCCUUAUGUGGUAAAAUGACUAUUUUGCCCUUAUAUGGUAAGAUGAUUGCUUUGCCCUAUGUGAUGUAUAUAUAUAUGUACAUGUAUGACCAUAUUUUUGCAUGUAAUUUAAACUAUAAUAGAUACAUGUAUGAUUCUAUGAUAUGACAUGACAUGCCUAUAUGAUGCAUUGCAUAGGGAUGGGUUUGGAGGAAGUGUACUAAAAGGCUUCGAGCUUAAAUUAUUGGCAGCCCAGCUGCAUAUUACUGUUUAGUGCCGCAACCGGUGCUAAUUUUGGAGUGUAGGGAGGGGUGGGUUGAUUAUAUCCCCACAUGGAGUAUAGGGAUUGACGGAGAUGGAGUGUAGAGGCUGGAUGGGUAGGACUUGUAUACUAUUACUGCACUGUGUAUUGUUACUGCAAUGGGCCAAGGCCCAAACACAUGAUUGUUUCUGUAUUGAGAUGGGCUAAAACCCAAACUAGUAUUGUCACUAUUGCUAAAAUGGGCUUAGGCCGAGAUUGUGCUUGACUUCUGACUGUUGCUUAUGUGGGAUUACACAAUGAGUUUUCGUAAACUAACCCAUUUGUUUAUUUGUACAGGUAAUCCCCAAGUUUAGGCGGAUCGGUGCUGUGAGGGACUCAAAGGCGGCCACACAAUUGCAUUUACUAUCUUAUUUGCUUUAUUUUUAUAAGUAAUUUUAUUUUGGGUAUUUUUACUGUAAUAAGGCCAUUUUGGAUUUUAACUUUAAUUUGGGGAUUUUUAUUUUCGUUAGCUUAUAACUACUAGAGAUAGGAAAACUCGAGUUUUCAAAAGAAACAAUGUUUUUACAAAGUAAACGCAAGUACGCAACUAUUUUAAAAAGCUUCCGCUAUAGAAUGAUAGUUUUGGAAAUGAACAACGAAUUUUAAGUAUAUACUUUUUGGAUAGUAACGCAAGUUUCAAAAAGAUAACUAUUUUUCAAAAACACACAAAGAGGUUAAAUAUAUAGUAAGAGUUUUUCAUCGAUAUAACACAUUACGAAAAAAGCACCCAAUGUGACAUCGCCAGAUUCGGCCACAACGUCCAGGCCGGGUUUGGGGUGUUAUAUUUAGUGGUAUUAGAGCCAAGUUGCAAAACUCGGCUGUGGAUUUGAGUUUCUUUUAAAACUUGGAAUUUCUGAAAGAACUGUUUCAAAUGAUUUGAAGUAAUUUGAAAUGUUUUACUGAAUGUGUGGUACUCCGAGUCUCCGCGCGAUCCUGUAAAUUUCCUCAAAAAAUUGUAUUUUGAUUUUGACUGAAACUGCUAUAGGUAGAAUUACUAAUACUACUAUAGGUAGUAUACCGUACUGCAAACUCUUUAUUAGUGUAUACUGAAACUGUAGAGAAAUCGGUAGAUGCCAAUAGACACUGCGUUGUGCAAAAAUAAAACUCUAUAUUUUUUUAUACUGUCUCCAUAAAAUAUCUGUUAAUAAACAACUGUAACUAUAAAUUGAUCUACAUAAAACUAUUAAUUCAAGAUAAAAUGCAAUUCGUUAAUGAGCACCAAAGGUACUGGGUCUCUUGAUCGUGUGUCUAAGGACGACGCGUUAUUCCAAGCUAUGUUGCGGAUUCUGGAGAGGGUCGCUGGGCCCAAUACUGGGUCUAGGGACUGAGGGUCGGUUAUGGAACUACUCCAGUCCAAUGGAGUUAAGUUCUUUAAGGGGUGUCACUAGUGUCACCCUUAAUGUGGCCGAGUAUUGGAUUGACAAUCUAUCCCAGUCUAUUUAUAGACUGUACAGAAAACACUCAAGUUAAAUGUGGUAGUAUUUUGGAACUAGAGUGCGUAGCAGGAGCGUAGUGGUGUAGUUUGUGUUAUGCGACUGAUCUAAUAAUUGGAAAUUUCAGGGACGAAAUUUUUUCAAGGAGAGGUGAAUUGUAACGCCCCGAAUGUUGGGCCCAGAAGUAUUAGGUCUUGAGCAUAGGAACAAUUAGAAGGCUGCACAUAAAUGUUUAAUUGUCCAAGAAAGUGUCACAAAUGUGUAUUUGCUUCAGCGGUUAUGUGUUCUGGGAAGUGUCUGUGAAGUCUUGGGUUCAAGCAUGGGCAUGUGCAAAAGUUUUGUUUUUAAAAGGUUUAAAUCCUAUCCCUAGUUAGUAGGCUUAUAAAUAAAUAUGGGUAAAACAUGACAGAAAGGGCCUGCUGGUCUAAAGGAUAAGUGGCGUGUGGUAAUUACUUGAGGUCUGAGGUUCGAAUGCUGGUAGGCACAUGGAGCUGUUUUAUUUUGAUGUUGGCCAUGACAGGGUUCUAGUUUGUCUGAAACUUGUGUGUUUGAAGAGUGUGGGAACUGGUGGCCGAAUUUUAGGAGAUUAUUGAGGAAUUUCGUUUGUUAAGGGGAUUUGGGGAGUGUUUUGGGAGGAAAUUUUUAAUAAAAGAGGUUGGGUGGAGUUCAAAUUAGUUGGUGGAGUAAUGUAAGGAGAUCUUCAAGGAAUUAAUUAAGGGAUUUUGGGAAGAGUGGGAGUGUUGUGCAGAAUAUGGGAGUUCCAUUUUGUCAAAAUCGGUCAAUAGCACACUUUCACUCCUUGAUGCCUAAUUUCUGCUUUUGGUUUUUACUGUUUCUCCAUCUUUCGUAUUUCUCUUUUGGGGACGGAUUGUUACUAGAGACCAUUCGAGGUUUUUCUCAAUUUGGUCUACUUCGGGUUUGUUCUUUCCUAAAACUGAUUGCUUUCUUCUUUCGCUCUCUCAAAUAUUGGCCGAAUACUCCUUAUUCUUUUCUCUCUCAAUUUUUUCCUUUUCCUUCACCUUCUUGUUUGGCCGAACACACUUUCCUUCCCCUUCUUCGAUUCUUUUUAGGUUCACAGAUUUCCUCUCUUGUCAUCUUGCUAUUUUGACCGAAUACCUCAUCUCUUCAUCUCUCUAUUUUGUUUUCAAUUUUUGCAGUUACGCUUUGACCAAUUGGGACAUGUUGGUGCUAGUCUUACUUCUGUAGUAACGUGUGUUUCGGCAUGCAUUGGGGGUAUAGGCCGAUUGUUUCUUUUCCUUUUCUCAGUGUGGCACUUUUGGAUACUUCUAAAAGGGGUUUCAACCAAUCUUUUGCAACGGAUUAAAGGAGUGAUCCUCAGUCGAUCUACCAAGGCAAGUGAUAAGAAACCGUUUUAAUAAGUGUUAUAGAAAAGGGAUAGUUUAAUCUCGUUGUUAAAGGGACUAAUGGUAUAUUGUGUUUGGAUCUAGGGUUUGAGCGCUUGUGGUCUAUUUGUACACUCUCGCAUCAAGUUGUGUAAAUACUGUCGUAAUCAUAAAUCGGUAAAAGCCGGAAUAAGUGACCGACGACACUGCACAGGUGUGGGCUCACCCGAGUGGUAGUCCGUAUGGCUAAACAUGGGCAUAUGAUCGUCGAGCCCAACCAUGAGCGAUUUCAUGGGUCGAGGCCGUAUUGGGCUAUUUCAGGCCAAACUGGGUCGUGUGGGCCCCAUGGGCAUGUGGGCCCCACUUGGGUAAACCACACAGACAUGUGGUAAAUAUUGGGUCAGGUUGUGUAUCCACACAGUUAAGGACAUUUCUGGGCUAUGUGGACCACACGGGCGUGUGUGCCCACAUGGGCCUGCAUUACGAGCUUUAGGACUAUUUUCACUGUUUGACCGUUAAGGUUACAUGAGUCGCCCGAGAUGACUAUGCACCUACUGUUGGGUCGGUAAGUGUACCUAGACCCCCUCUGUGGUAAAAUGACUGUUUUGCCCCUAUGUGGUAAAAUAACUGUUUUGCCCUAUGUGGUAAAAUAAUUCUAGCGUGUAGGGAGGGGUCCCACAUGGAGUGUAGGGUUGGACGGAGAUGGAGUGUAGAGGCUAGAUGGGUAGGACUUGUAUACUGUUACUGCACUGUGUAUUGUUACUGCAAUGGGCCAAGGCCCAAACACAUGACUGUUUCUAUAUUGAGAUAGGCUAAAGCCCAAACUGAUAUUGUCAUUGUUCCUAAAAUAGGCUUAGGCCGAGACUGUGCUUGAUUUCUGACUGUUUCUUAUAUGGGAUUACACACUGAGUUUUCAUAAACUCAUCCAUCUAUUUAUCUGUACAGGUAAUCCCCAGGCUUAGGCAGAUUAGUGCUGCGAGGGACUCAAAGGCGGCCACACAGCCCCAUUUACUAUCAUAUUUUCUUUAUUUUUAUAAAUAAUUUUAUUUUUGACAUUUUUACUGUAAUAAGGCCAGUAUGGAUUUUA
rnacentral:lncRNA from 1 species